GACGAACGCUGGCGGCGUGCUUAACACAUGCAAGUCGAACGGAAAGGCCCUGCUUGUGUGGGGUGCUCGAGUGGCGAACGGGUGAGUAACACGUGAGUAACCUGCCCUUGACUUUGGGAUAACUUCAGGAAACUGGGGCUAAUACCAGAUAGGAGCUCCUGCUGCAUGGUGGGGGUUGGAAAGUUUCGGCGGUUGGGGAUGGACUCGCGGCUUAUCAGCUUGUUGGUGGGGUAGUGGCUUACCAAGGCUUUGACGGGUAGCCGGCCUGAGAGGGUGACCGGCCACAUUGGGACUGAGAUACGGCCCAGACUCCUACGGGAGGCAGCAGUGGGGAAUAUUGCACAAUGGGCGGAAGCCUGAUGCAGCAACGCCGCGUGCGGGAUGACGGCCUUCGGGUUGUAAACCGCUUUCGCCUGUGACGAAGCGUGAGUGACGGUAAUGGGUAAAGAAGCACCGGCUAACUACGUG
rnacentral:rRNA from 1 species